rnacentral:lncRNA from 1 species
CUUUGGGGGAAAAAAAGCUCAUUGGAUAUUUGAAGCUUUGGAUCUAGUCUGCAUGGUGCAAUAUCUUGCUUAUUAAGUGGUUCCCAUUAAUGAAGUGUUUCCUGGGAGGUCUCCAGAACUGUCUUUUGGGUUUUUUAAUUGAAAGUUUUAAUUAAGUUUAAAUUAGUCAAUGUUUUGGCGUCAGAGACAACAUGAAAUGAAAGGAUGAGCAAUUGCCUAAGUAUUUUAGGCUGGUGCACAAUCUGGAUAUUCCUGCUUCCCAAAACAUCUUCCCUCAACUUUUCCCAUGAACCAGAAAGAGAGAUUUUCAAGUAUUUUUUCCUCUGCCGCAUGCCUUCCCAACCACUGCAGACUCAGUCCUGAAAUGGAGUUAAAAAGGAAAACCUAGAGAGGAAGUCACAUGGCAUUGUUCUCAACUGAGACCAAAUAACAGAAGAGCUACAGGAAAGAGGAGCAGAGAGGAAGGGAAGCGGGAUCCCUGAAGGGAUGACAAGGGAAUUAAGAUGUACUGACUCUGCAAUGAAUAUAAUCAUCAUGUACUACGAGCGUGUACAGUAAAUUAAAAUAUUAUAAAAUAAAG